AAAAAGAUGAUGUUUUGGUGACUAAUACAUUGUUUUUCAAUAGAGGCGCUUCCUUGGACUUUUCUUUAUUGGAAGUAUAAGAAUAUGAAAAUCUCAGUGACAUGCAAAUUCACAUGGCUUGACUUGCAUGGCAUAAGAAAAGUUUAAGGGCAUUCCUGCCAUUUAACAAGCAUUUGGCUCUCUGUAUUUCACAGAAAUAAAGUCAGCAUGCACUAAUCAUUUCACCACUACAACACUCUUCAUACACACUAAAACUUUAAGAUCUUUUUGACUUUUAUUGCAACUAUUGGAUCAUCGAUCGAAUUAUUGUCAAGCAGAAUUGUUAAUCGAA
rnacentral:lncRNA from 1 species